rnacentral:lncRNA from 1 species
GGGGGGAGGGGGUAGCGGUGUCAGGGAAGCAAAGGGCUUUCAUUUGCUCCCGAGGCAGCAAUAACCAUCCAUGCAUCGGUCAUUUAACACGGUAACCCAGCGAAAUUGAUACUCGGCUCUUCCCUGCUCUGGGUCCACUCGCAUAAAUCAUAACCCCAGGAAACAAAAGCCCGGCCUAGCAGAGUAUCUGCCAGACAGGACGGACAAGGAGGAAGGCAGAGCGACUCACCCACUUACUCCAAGGCUUGUAGGGAGAGAGACGCACGCUGACGUCCGGGAAUUCCUCUGCUGCCUUUUAUUUGUGUUCAGGGAAAAAAUUACAUGGAAAGACACUGAAGUGUGUGUGUGUGUGUGUGUGUGUGUGUGUGUGUGUGUGUGUGUGUGUAGGGGGAAUCAAAGGGAUGAAGGCUGAAUUGAAGACCAGCAGACGUGUUAAAACUGACCCAGCAUAUAAGCCUGGAGCUGACUGGCUUAUUAAGUCUCUAGACCUGAGGACACACCCGGCUCAGGGGACUCUUGCUGCUGUUGAUGCUUCCAGCAAGGAGGGCAGGUUAAGAGUUACAAAACUGCAUGGAUGCAACCUUAGGUGCCUCAAUUCCAAAG